UACGCAGGGGGCUAGCGUUGCUCGGAAUCACUGGGCGUAAAGCGCACGUAGGCGGAUCUUUAAGUCAGGGGUGAAAUCCUGGAGCUCAACUCCAGAACUGCCUUUGAUACUGAGGAUCUCGAGUCCGGGAGAGGUGAGUGGAACUGCGAGUGUAGAGGUGAAAUUCGUAGAUAUUCGCAAGAACACCAGUGGCGAAGGCGGCUCACUGGCCCGGUACUGACGCUGAGGUGCGAAAGCGUGGGGAGCAAACAGG
rnacentral:rRNA from 1 species